UUCUCGGCAAAUUAUCCUCAUAAGUUUGACAAGAAGAGGAACCAUGAAUUUUAGUAAUUUAAUAACUCCUAUUAAUUUAUUUAUAUGGUGGCACAAAAUCGGAAGCCCCGACUGUUUACUAAAAACACAACUAUCUGCAAUUAUGAAAAUAAUAGUAUAGGUAGUGAGAUUUGCCCAAUGCCAUAUUCAUAAGUAAUAAUAAUGGGUAACUGUUUCUUUACAAAAAAUUGGUUAAUAGCGGUCUUAACUAUGAGGAUCCUAAGGUAGCAAAAUAAAUUGGCCAUUAAAUGUGGUCCGGUAUCAAUAAUUUAACGAUGGCUUCACUGUCUCUACAACUUGCUCAGUGAAAUUGAAUUACCCGUGCAGAUGCGGGUUACCUCAAAGAGGACGGGAAGACCCUAUGCA
rnacentral:rRNA from 2 species